AGAAUUGCAUUGUUUGCAAGACCCUCCAUCAGCCAAAAGAUUAUAACUCGCUGAAAGCUCAGAAGAUGGUUAACAAUUUUUAGCAAUGAAGUAUUUUUUAAUUAAGGUAUGUACAUUGUUUUUAUAGAUA